UGCAGGUAGGCAGGAGCCCCCCGUAGCUGAGUGAGGCAGCAUGGCAAGGGUUGCCGGUCUGCGCUGACAUCUCCUAGCAACAGUGCUCCCCAUGGCCCAUGACUGGCAUCCCACGGGCUGCCCAUCCCAUCCUGGGGGUCACACUGCCCUGUAGCCUGUGUGGCUGGUGGCACUGGGCAUCUGCAUUCCCAGCGGAUGGGCAGCUGCCUAACUCAGCCCUGCCAGGAGCUCGCUGCAUCUUGGUGCCUGAAGGAGUGCCUAGCAGAUGGGGCUGCUCGGGGCCAGCAGCUAAAGCUGGGCUGAGACUGGCGAGGGUGCAGGGUGGAGGAUGGCGUGUGGUCUGUAAAGACCUGGACUCAACCCUCCCUCCUCGCUCUUCUGGGCAGCCCGCAUGGAGGCUGCAUGCAGCGAUGUGAUGGGAGCUCAAGGAGGACGGCAGUUGUGAACAGGGAGAUGUAGAGAUCUGUCUGGGAUCUUGGGAUUUGCUUGGGGUGUCGCCAGAGACAGCUGUGAAGGUGGAGGCAGUACCCAUGCUGGGCAGGAGGAAGGACCCAGGGAUGACAGGUCCCUGAGGGAAAUUGGAGGUGGGGAGAGGCACACACCUCCAUCGCAGCAUGCUUUCAGUCAGGACAUUGCUCACGAUACCUGCCUGCCUGUGUGUCUGUUUUUAUUUCCCACGAUAGUGGCCAGUUCAGCAUGGCAAAACAGGGUGUCUGGUACCUGCAGGAAUGGAAGACUCUGACAGUGAGAUCUGUGGCCAAGCUUGUUGCUCCAAGGUGUGCUGCCGAAGUUGGAAAGAGGCUCAGACUCAAGUGCUGAAGAGGGGAGAGUUGAUACCGCAGCCUGAUCAAGACAAGAGGUAAAGGAGGCGAGGCCAGACUGCUCCAGCAAAGGAUGGGACCUUUGUGGAAUGGAUGGUGUCUUUGUAAAAUUUCAUCUAAUUCUGGAAAAGGUUAAGAGAAGGUCAGCCUGCCAACCUGCUCCCUCUCCAGCCAGGAUAGUCCCCCUCAACUGUGAAAGCCAAGGCAAGCGGA